rnacentral:tRNA from 1 species
GGCUGGGACGAAGUCGGGGAACGCGUGCGCGGGGCUGCUCGCCCGGGGCGCGUCUACGGCACUCAUAAUGCUGAGGUCGCCGGUUCGAAUCCGGCCCCAGCUA